CUUUAAUAAAAAAAAUUAAUGAAUUCAUGUUUUAAAUUUUAUUGCAAUGUUUGUGUUAUUAUUAAAAUAUCAUUACAAUUUACUAUACUCUAUAUUUAGAAAAUACUUAUCUUUGACGUAUACGGCAACCCGUGGACGUUACAUUACAACCAUUGUACGUCCAGUACCUAUUCAACGCGGUCGAAGGAAACGUCGCUUAAAUGCUAUCAGUCUUACAUCGACGGUCAAAGUUGAUUGAUAACUUAAAAUUUACAAGUACUUAUUAUAAAAAGUGCGAUAGAGUAACAAUUUAAAAAUUAUAUGCAUGUGCCCUUCUACGCCAUGGUACUGUGCUAUAUAAUUUCAGUGAAAGAACCAUCAAUAGGUAGGUGGAGCUUGACCGCCGAUGAAAUAAAACGCAUAUACUCAGCUGGGAAGUAGCUCCUAUUUACACCAUUAAACCGAAUAGAACUGCUAUAGAGUUGGUAACUUAAGUAUACAGUACCUUCAAUAUUUUAUACAUAUUAUAAUGAUUAGAUAUAUAAGAGAUAAAUAAUAUCAUUAAUUUUAGAAUAUUCUAAAAUCAAUGUUAAUACCUAUAGGUACGCGUUAUUUAUCAAUAUAAACUAAAUACUGCUACACCUAUAAUAACCUAUUGAGGUUCCAUCUUAGCUAUAGAUAUUUCUAAAUUAAGUUAUUGGUUUGGACUGUUACGACCUAACGUUACAAUAAAAAGGCUUUUAUCAAAACCAACACAUUACCUGAUAUUGCGCAGAAGACGAUGCUUUUUAGCCGCUUUUAGGAUAAACUAAAUUAUUUAUUAAACAAUAAAUUUAAUAAUUUAAAACAAUCAAUUAACUAAAAUAACAAUAACUUGAUUUAAUUCUGAGUUGUACAAUGAUGUACCAAUUCACUUACAAGAGCAUCAAGUCGAUGCAAAUCAUUAUGUUAUGAGUUAUACAGCUAUUUUUAAAAUUAAUGAACAAAUGUAUACUGUAAAUCAUAUUUCCGAGACUCAAGUCAAACAGAAGGAAUGUGAAAACUUCUUGCGCACUAUAUGUUGGCAAAACAAUUAAGUAGACUAUCUACAGAAAAUGCUUCAACAUCAAAAUCUUAAGGACCCCUUCAGGAGGAUUUCCCAUGGCUACAUUUUGCUUUAUUAGCGAUGCACAAUUUAUUGAAUCAAUGAGAACUACAGCCUUAAGUUACAAAAGAACCGAUUAAGAAAAUUAAGAAAUCAUAAGAAUUUUCGAUGAUUUUUUUUUAAUAUUUUUGUGUUAUUAAUUAUAAAUUUAUUAAUACAUAUUUAUAUUUGCUACUUUAUUUAUUUAUUUAUUUAUUCAUAGUGCGUUAUUUAAAACAUUUUAGGUAUUUUACAAUUAUUUAGUUAAUAAUUUAGUUAUUGUAGAAAAUGAUUUAAAGUUCGGUUCAAGUUUGGUUCGACUUAAAAAAUCAGGGUAUCACUAGUAAUAACAUAUAAUAUUUAUUAUAACAACAAAACAUAAAUAAACUAAAAAAUAAUUAAAUUCGAUUUUUAUUCGUACUUGUAUUGGAUAUAUAUAAAAUGUUAACGUACUUAUACAGGCGGAAACUACAGAAAGGUCUGUCAAGCUCAACCGCGGAAAUACGACAAAAAGUCGGCGGCGACAACUUGUUUCCCGAUGUAGGAGAGGGAGGGUGCUCAGUGAACUUCAUCGCCGACGGCACGAUAGCAAGUAGCAACAGGCAACAGCCGAUAAAAUUGACGCGGCGCGAAUUUGUUUCGCGUUCGAUCGAGAUGUGAAACAACAAAGUCGAUCGGUAUUGUAAGAGUAACCUCUGUCUUGUAUGACUGUGUUGUGUCUCGUAUAUUAAACUUUGAGCUCCUGGAGAAUGCGUGUUUUGUUGUUUGAUCGUCAAGAUGUCCAUCGUUAAAUUUGGUUUUCUUUUCCAGAUGCUGUGAAUUUUAAUUUUCACUCUAACUAUUUCCUUUACCUUGAUGAUACUAUAUAUUCCGGAACUGAUAUUUACAAAACACAAUGUAAACAGCAUGCAUGUGAAAACUUCUUGCGCGGUACAUUGGCGAACAAAUUAAAUGAACGAUCUGCAGAAAAUGUUUCAACAUCAAAAUUUAAUGGACCCUCGGAGGAGAAAUUCCCAUAGGUAUAUUUCGUUUCAAUAGGAAUGCAUUUCUUGAUUAAUCAAUGGGAGCUACAGUAUUAAGUUACAAGACAACCGAUUAAGAAAAUUUAAGAAAUCUUACGUAUGCUAGUGGUACAUGAAUAUCAACAAAGUCGGACUGAAAAAAGACUGUUAGUAUUCGAAAGGAAAAUCCUACAUAGAAUCUAUGGGCCUAAAAAAAAACAAGAAGAGAAUACGUAUGAAUGAAAUCAAUGCAGAGCCAAACAUAAUGGGAAUUAAAAGCAAACGGAUAAUCUGGGCUGGUUACUUAUGGAGAGCGGUGGACCAAAUAGUGCAUGAAAUCACAAGACAAAAAACGACUGAGAGAACGACCAAGACAAAAUUUUAUAAAAAUUUACGACCUGGCGACAUCGUCGCAAGAAUUACACGCGAUUCCACUCCAGCGAUCUAUACCCGAACUGAACUGGAAUCAAGUCUCAAGUGGCUGCAGCAGACUAUCCUCUUCCCAAAAAAGCGCAGAUUGAGGGACUGGAGGCUCCAGGAAUGCUGGCGGAGCAUGAGCUCGAACUACCUUGGCUCAACAAACACGCAAUACACACACAUUCGAUCAAUUUAUAAUCGUAAUCGCGAAAGACCAAACGUACGAUUUCCACUAAUGAUAUAUAAUCAUAGAUUGUGGCCACGGAUACGAUAUAUUUAUAUGUUUCAGGAUGGGUAGAGUUAUUACUCAUCGGUUGCAGCAGUUACUUUGUAGUCACGUUUACUUUUAUGUUUCAUGUACGCCAACAUAAACUUUUAGAACUCCGGUUUCAUUAUUGUCGUUGGUUGAAAUCAUAAAUAACCUCAUUAAAAUUUUUUUUUUUAAUAAUCCCAUCAUGUAUUAUCCUCCACUUUCCCAAAAUAUAUUUAAUAUGUGUUAGUACCAUUUGUCCAUUUGUACUACGAAGAUACCAAUAUUGAGGUAUCUAUUACUUGCAUAUAUAUAAUGUUUGAGGUCCGUCACGUCAGCACCCCAAGUUCUAAAUUUUUGCACCAAAAUUACACAAGAUUAUGUAACCAUUUUGUAACGAUAUGUAAUCCAAAAUUCGA